CCUACGGGAGGCUGCAGUGGGGAAUAUUGGACAAUGGGCGAAAGCCUGAUCCAGCCAUGCCGCGUGUGUGAAGAAGGCCUUCGGGUUGUAAAGCACUUUCAGUGGGGAAGAAAGCCUUGGGGCUAAUACCCUCGAGGAAGGACAUCACCCACAGAAGAAGCACCGGCUAACUCCGUGCCAGCAGCCGCGGUAAUACGGAGGGUGCGAGCGUUAAUCGGAAUUACUGGGCGUAAAGCGCGCGUAGGCGGUCUGAUAAGCCGGUUGUGAAAGCCCCGGGCUCAACCUGGGAACGGCAUCCGGAACUGUCAGGCUAGAGUGCAGGAGAGGAAGGUAGAAUUCCCGGUGUAGCGGUGAAAUGCGUAGAGAUCGGGAGGAAUACCAGUGGCGAGGCGGCCUUCUGGACUGACACUGACGCGGAGGUGCGAAAGCGUGGGUAGCAAACAGGAUUAGAUACCCUUGUAGC
rnacentral:rRNA from 1 species